rnacentral:rRNA from 1 species
CGCCUCUUGAUAACCAUAAGAGGUACAGCCUGCCCAGUGACUCUGUUUAACGGCCGCGGUAUCCUAACCGUGCGAAGGUAGCGUAAUCACUUGUUCUUUAAAUGAGGACUAGUAUGAAUGGCAUCACGAGGGUUAUUCUGUCUCCUUUCCUUAAUCAGUGAAACUUAUCUCCCCGUGAAGAAGCGGGGAUACAUAUAUAAGACGAGAAGACCCUAUGGAGCUUUAAACUAUAUCACAUUUGCCAGAUAUACAAAAAUUUCAGAAAAGCAAAUUUUACCUUAGCACUAUGAUGGUAAGUUUUGGGUUGGGGUGACCGCGGAGUAAAAAUUACCCUCCGCAUUGAAUAAGAUUUUUCUUAAGCCAAAAACUACGAUUUUAAGCAUCAACAAAUUGACAUUAUUGACCCAAUAUUUUGAUCAACGAACCAAGUUACCCUAGGGAUAACAGCGCAAUCCACUUCAAGAGCUCAUAUCGACAAGUGGGUUUACGACCUCGAUGUUGGAUCAGGGUAUCCCAGUGGUGCAGCCGCUACUAAAGGUUCGUUUGUUCAACGAUUAAAACCCU